rnacentral:lncRNA from 1 species
AUAUAAUUGAAUGAUUACAUCAAAAUGGAUUUCUAUUUGGACAACCCUUUCUGAGCGCUGAUUGGCUAAAAUACGAACACGAGAUCACCUGGUAUAUUAAGAAGAUAUUUUUUAUCAUACGUUUUUACGACUUCUAUGACGACGAAUCUUUGCAAAUAUCACGUCGCCUCGGAUGGUAGUUUUGGCGGGAAAAUGUGCAUUCGUAACAAUAGUCUAUAUAGAGCCUGGUUUCUAUAUUUCGUAUGGCUGUUAACGUGUCAUAACAGUGUCACAAAUCUCGCAGAAAUAAACUGUAACAACUCUGACUAGGCUUACACUCGAAAACUAGGCUUAGGUAAGCACGUCCGCGUCACAAAUUCGCGUAGAUCUUAAGCUCCCUAUAUUGUUCAUCUGUGUCUAUGAAUUGCGCGACCAAGGAAAAAAACUAGUUGUCUCUGCUCAACCCUACAAACUAUAUUCAAUCAAGUUUCUAUUAAGUGUCUGUUUCAGAAACGCUGUCAUGUUUAAAAUUGUCUUGUAAAUUAUCGCCAUACACUUUUGGUGACUCAUGUAUAUCCUGUUUGUCUAUAGUUUCGUCUUCAAUCUUGGGGAAUACUGGCAAGAGAUCGACUCCGGUUCUCAUUUCAUGAACAUUUUCUUCCUCUUUUCCUUCG